GAUGAACGCUGGCGGCGUGCCUAAUACAUGCAAGUCGAGCGAACAGACGAGGAGCUUGCUCCUCUGACGUUAGCGGCGGACGGGUGAGUAACACGUGGAUAACCUACCUAUAAGACUGGGAUAACUUCGGGAAACCGUAGCUAAUACCGGAUAAUAUAUUGAACCGCAUGGUUCAAUAGUGAAAGACGGUCUUGCUGUCACUUAUAGAUGGAUCCGCGCCGCAUUAGCUAGUUGGUAAGGUAACGGCUUACCAAGGCAACGAUGCGUAGCCGACCUGAGAGGGUGAUCGGCCACACUGGAACUGAGACACGGUCCAGACUCCUACGGGAGGCAGCAGUAGGGAAUCUUCCGCAAUGGGCGAAAGCCUGACGGAGCAACGCCGCGUGAGUGAUGAAGGUCUUCGGAUCGUAAAACUCUGUUAUUAGGGAAGAACAAAUGUGUAAGUAACUGUGCACAUCUUGACGGUACCUAAUCAGAAAGCCACGGCUAACUACGUG
rnacentral:rRNA from 1 species